rnacentral:rRNA from 1 species
ACUCCUACGGGAGGCAGCAGUGGGGAAUCUUGGACAAUGGGGGCAACCCUGAUCCAGCCAUGCCGCGUGAGUGAUGAAGGCCUUAGGGUCGUAAAGCUCUUUCGCCUGUGAUGAUAAUGACAGUAGCAGGUAAAGAAACCCCGGCUAACUCCGUGCCAGCAGCCGCGGUAAUACGGAGGGGUUAGCGUUGUUCGGAAUUACUGGGCGUAAAGCGCGCGUAGGCGGAUUAGUAAGUCAGAGGUGAAAUCCCGGGGCUCAACCCCGGAACUGCCUUUGAUACUGCUAGUCUUGAGUUCGAGAGAGGUGAGUGGAAUUCCGAGUGUAGAGGUGAAAUUCGUAGAUAUUCGGAGGAACACCAGUGGCGAAGGCGGCUCACUGGCUCGAUACUGACGCUGAGGUGCGAAAGUGUGGGAGCAAACAGGAUUAGAUACCCUGGUAGCGACUGA